AAGACUAUAGACCUGCGGAGUACCUGCGGGGGAUCAUUAUUGAAUUAUGUUUCUAAAUGGGUUGUAGCUGGCUCGUCAGAGCAUGUGCACGCCUGUUUGGACUUCAUUUUCAUCCACCUGUGCACCUAUUGUAGUCUUUGGUUGGGUAUCAAGGAAGUGGUCAGCCUAUCAGCACUUGCUGGAUGUGAGGACUUGCAGUGUGAAAGCUUUGCUGUCCUUUACUUGAUCAUGGAGUUGUUU
rnacentral:misc_RNA from 1 species